rnacentral:rRNA from 1 species
AUUGAACGCUGGCGGCAGGCUUAACACAUGCAAGUCGAGCGAGCGGCGGACGGGUGAGUAAUGUCUGGGAAACUGCCUGAUGGAGGGGGAUAACUAAUGGAAACGGUAGCUAAUACCGCAUACCAUCAGAUGUGCCCAGAUGGGAUUAGCUAGUAGGUGGGGAAAUGGCUCACCUAGGCGACGAUCCCUAGCUGGUCUGAGCGGAUGACCGGCAACACGGGAACUGGUACACGGUCCGGACGCCACCGGGAGGCAGCAGUGGGGAAUAUUGCACAAUGGGCGCAAGCCUGCUGCAGCCACGCCGCGUGUGUGAAGAAGGCUUUCGGGUUUUAAAGCACUUUCAGCGAGGAGGCGUUACUCGCAGAAGAAGCACCGGCUAACUCCGUGCCAGCAGCCGCGGUAAUAC